rnacentral:lncRNA from 1 species
AUCAGAAGCAUUUUCUGACAAUUUUAUCUAAUAUUUAAAACAGGGAGCUAUGGUGCACUCUAGUUUAUACGUGUGCUAUGAGAUGUGUUGUGUAAACCUGGGGUGCCCACCUAUUGGUGAACUCAUCAUUUCACCUGACACAUGCUUGUUUCCAGUUCAGAACCAGUGUGGGCUCUUGCAGCAAGCAUGGGUCACAGCUGAUUCCAACUUCCAGUACAGUAGCCAUCACCUGCACGGCGUUUUUCCUUGAUUUGUUUAACCAGUGUAGUUGCAUUAGUAGUUCUAUAAAAAGAACUGCUUUUAACAUUAGGGACUGGGAUCAGUCCAUGGGAUAAAAAGGAAAGUGUUUUCUCACGGGAAAACAUGUCAGGAAAAAUAAAGAACACUUUCUACCUCUGUUUCAGAUUUUUGAAACGCUUAUUUUAAACCAAAUUUUAAUUUCUGUGUCCAAAAUAAGUUUUAAGGACAUCUGUUCUUCCAUACGAAAUAGGUUAGGCUGCCUGUUUCUUACUGAACUCAUGGAAUGGUUCUGCUUGUGAUCCUCUGCAUGCUGCCUUUUAAUGAGUGAGGAGUUUGGGGUUGCCUAGCAACCCACUAACUUGUACAAACUCAUCUUUCCCUCACAGAACGAAAUGAAGGAAAACCAAGCAAAGUCAGUGAAAGACAAUCUUUAUAGUUUCAGGAGUAAAUCUGUAUAUGGCUUUUGUCCAGCACUUGGAUGGAUGUAAAUGCAGCAACUUGUUUAAAAAAAAAUGCACAAUUUACUUCCCAAAAAAAGUUGUACUUGCCUUUUCAAGUCGUUGAAGAACUCACAUUUGAUAUUCUCUUAUAUGUUAUAAUAAUAUAACGUAUAAACUCAAGGCUUUUUAUUCUUUGUGAUAACUCCUGUUUUAACACAUAACAAAACAGGAACCAGCAUUCUAAUUAGAUUUACUCUAUCAAGAUAUGGUUCAAAUAGGACUACUAGAGUUCAUUGAACACUAAAACUAUGAAACAGUUACUUUUUAUAUUAAAAAGACCAUGGAUUUAACUUUAAAAAAUCCAAAUGCAGGAUAGUAAUUUUUGUUUACUUUUUUAACCA